rnacentral:lncRNA from 1 species
GACUAUAGAAGCCAAAUUCCAAUGUGAAAAUGCACCUUUCAAUUGCACAGACUAGGUCAUAAUGGAGGUGACACUCAUAAAAGAUUUUCUAGCUCUUAGCAGAGCUGUAAACCGGGACCCCUCAUCCAGGCAGACAGCACAGAAUCUGAAAAUCUGCCUAUCAAAAGCAUCAUUCAAGCCACAAGGCUCUUCUGUUCCUGGUAAAAGGCAGGCAGGAAAAGAGGAGACAAAAGAAAAACAUUUAUGAUCUGAAGAUAUGGCCCAAAUCACCAACCACACAAUUUGUUUUCUGAGGAAAGGAAAGACCUGGUGCAACUUUAUACAAACAGCCCAUCAUUCAUCCUUGAUCGGGGAUAUUUUCUCCUCCCAGCCACUAAUCUGCUCUCUGCUCUUACAUUUGUACAUUUUUAGAACGAUAUUAAACAUUGGAAAAGUCAUUCAGGGAGCUAAAGUUCACUGUGGUUUGAAGUCUUAUAACUACAAAAUAAUGUUGUUCUAACUGAUCUUUCACAUCAAUGCAGACAAAAGCACUUUGGUAUAUAUGUUUAAGGCUUAACCCUAUCAAAGUCAGGA